ensembl:lncRNA CUTALP cutA divalent cation tolerance like, pseudogene
AAACCUUUAAUAACAAGUGAAAAGAGCUUGUAUUUGCCAAAAUGAACACAGGAUAUGAUUCUUUUUUUGCUUUUGCUUUGGAGUUGUAUCAGCUCUGUGCGGUCACAUGGGUAUCUACAAAUCAAAGCACCCAUCAACCAGAUGCAUCUCUGAGAGUUAACAGCAGAAGGUGGCAUAAUAAAAGAAGUUCUCGGUAGUGAAAAAGGUUGGAAACCACCAGCUAAACCAAUCCUCUUGUACCAAUAGGAGAUUCAAGUUGAGAGGGCCAUGCUGGAUAAGGAGCUGGCUGCCUCUGUGAACAUCCUACUCAAGGCAUCUUCACUGCUGUACAUCCUUUUGAAAUCCCAGAGAUCUUCAGUCUCCCUGUGGAUUAAGGAGAUGUGCAGUAUUUAAAGUGGCUUCAGGAAGGCAUGGAAGAGGACUGAGUGGGGAAAGCUUUUUGUGCAUGCUGCUGGCUACCUCCAGCGGCUGCCUCCAGCCUCCAUCAGCUGCACUCUGGGGAAGAGGAGGCUGCCUUCUACCUCCCAGCAUCUCUGGAUUUCAUGUUCCUGUCAGCACAGAGGAGCUAAAUGGCCUGUAGAGGCUGAAGGUCUGAGGCUCCUAAAGCUGG